GCUGCCAACACUUCAAGUUUGACUUCUGGCCUCCAAAAAUGUAAGAUGGUACUUGGAAUAUAACAGACUAAAUGGAUGAAGUGCCUCACCUGAUGAACACCAUAUGUCUCUCAAAUAUUUAUUGUUUCCCUCAGGCAAUAUGGCGUAGAAGGAAAAGUUUUAGUGGCAAAAAGAACUAAAAAACACAGCUACCUAAAGUCAAACUGUCUUUUGCAGGAGGCUUAGUUUUCUCAAAAAGAAGAUAAUGACAAAUGGAAACAGAAACUACUCUAGAUCAUAGUAAAUCAAAACUGUCUGCGAGAAUUCCCCAUCCCACCACCUUGUAUGAAGGCCAGCUUAUGAUCAUAGAUUCUUAGUGGAGACUUAUCCCCCUCAAGCCAGUACUAAG